GGGGACUUAGCUCAGUGGCAUAAGCGCCUGCCUUGCAAGCAGGCAGUCGUGAGUUCGAUCCUGGUCCCGA
rfam:Cavia porcellus supercont2_23 genomic scaffold, whole genome shotgun sequence.